GGCCUACGGGAGGCAGCAGUGGGGAAUAUUGGACAAUGGGCGAAAGCCUGAUCCAGCCAUGCCGCGUGUGUGAAGAAGGCCCUCGGGUUGUAAAGCACUUUCAGUGGGGAAGAAAGCCUUGGGAUUAAUACUCCCGAGGAAAGACAUCACCCACAGAAGAAGCACCGGCUAACUCCGUGCCAGCAGCCGCGGUAAUA
rnacentral:rRNA from 1 species